GCCCUAGGAGUAAAAGUCUGGCUUCUUACAGAAUUGUUAUAUGUUCGUUUAUAUCCUCUUCCAUCUGACUGCCUGUUUAUUACUUUUUUUCCCCAGAAAGCAUGUACAAGCAGACAAGUUUGUGCAUGUUUACUAGAUAUUUGGCAGUUUUCAAACAGAAGAAAUAACUGAAGACAGCGAGCUCUCUGUUCUCAAGAUGGUCUUCAUGACACUGUCCAUGGGAUGACUACAUCAAAGAAACAAAAAGAACUAACAAGGAGAAAAUGUAAUUACAGAAAAAAGUGAAUUGCUAGCAAUAUGCAGAUGUAUAUUUAUCAUAGUGGAUGUGUAUUUUUCAUUACCUACAUGAGAAAAAAUUUUCUCAAAU